rnacentral:rRNA from 1 species
CACCAGCGCCACGAGUGGGGGCCGCUGUUAUUGGGUCUAAAGCGUCCGUAGCCGGUUUGAUAAAUCUUCUGUGAAAUCGUCAGGCUUAACCUAACGGCUUGCAGAAGAGACUGUCAGACUAGAGACCGGGAGGAGUUAGAGGUAUUCUUGGGGUAGCGGUAAAAUGCUAUAAUCCUCGGAAGACCACCUGUGGCAAAGGCGUCUAACCAGAACGGGUCUGACGGUGAGGGACGAAAGCUAGGGGA